rnacentral:snRNA from 1 species
GGAUGUGAAAGAGAUUUGGCUGUGAUAUCUAUCACUCUAUUGAUCACCAGGGUUGAUUAAACUGAUUUAGCCAGCUAGACAGUCUUCUUUUCUCACUUAGCUCCUUGUGUAUUCACCUUUCUAACUCACAAGUUUGCUGUUCUGACAGAAUAUGACUUUCCACAUAAAGUUGUACAUUUCUUAAACAUCCAAGCUCUCAAAUUCAUCACAGAAACAAUAACUGAGAUGAACUACUGAGACACCCUGGAAACCUCAUUCAAAGUGAAUCUAGUUGUAAGAAACCACAUUU